rnacentral:rRNA from 1 species
GAUGAACGCUGGCGGCGUGCUUAACACAUGCAAGUCGAACGGAACUACUCCAAUGAGAGUCUUCGGAAAGGAUUUGGUUUAGUUUAGUGGCGGACGGGUGAGUAACGCGUGGGUAACCUGCCCUAUACAGGGGGAUAACAGUUGGAAACGACUGUUAAUACCGCAUAAGCGCACAGGAGCGCAUGCUCCGGUGGGAAAAACUCCGGUGGUAUAGGAUGGACCCGCGUCUGAUUAGCUGGUUGGCGGGGUAACGGCCCACCAAGGCGACGAUCAGUAGCCGGCCUGAGAGGGUGAACGGCCACAUUGGGACUGAGACACGGCCCAAACUCCUACGGGAGGCAGCAGUGGGGAAUAUUGCACAAUGGGGGAAACCCUGAUGCAGCGACGCCGCGUGAGCGAAGAAGUAUCUCGGUAUGUAAAGCUCUAUCAGCAGGGAAGAAAAUGACGGUACCUGACUAAGAAGCCCCGGCUAACUACGUG